GAUUACAGAAUGUAUAGCAUCGUCAAAUUUUUGGGGGAAAGGACUGUUGGCAUAGUGGCCAGUAAUUGGAUUAUAAAAGAGGGAGAUAAGACAUGCAGCUACUGGCCACUCCACAAGCCCACACAGAGGGCAAAGGACAAAGAUUUGCCCGAUCCUAAAACCUGGCUAAAAAGGCCAAUAAAAAUAUUUUCCUCAACAGAUGAUUGGGAUCAGGCCGUCAGGAGGAACAAGAGGGCGGAGACAAAGUCCUGUGUGGAGACAGGAAAUGAGGACAAAGGG